ACUGCUUUCCAUUCAUGACUCAGCAAAGUGAUGCAAUUGGAAAGAAAUCUCUUUCCUCAUUCCUCCUUUGCCUAGGCAGGUUUUAACUCUCUUUAGCGUGCUGGAUCAGAGAAGGGAGAGACGGAGUAGGAAGACAGUGCUUCUGCAGGGAAAACAGCCUGAGUUUCAGAAAUGUUGCAUUAGUACAUGCAAAGUUAAAACAUUCCUACAUUUAUAUUCACGUGGUCAUGUGAGCAAAUACAGAAUGGUUAGAGUGAUACGCUUCAGAAAGUUAGGCAGUCUUGAAGUUUUCUGCCUACCUCCACAUUCCUCCUCCAACAGUACAUCACUCUGAAAACUUGCGAAAGGAACAAACUACAGGUCAUGAUCACCUGGUCACUGAAAACUCCAUGCUGAAGAGGUGAUGCUACAGCAACAAGCAGCAGCAGCAGGACAGACCGGUGGAAAGAACAGCAUUUUUGCACACUCCUGAAUGCAAAGAAAAUACUACGAAGGCAGCCGCUGGGAGAGAAGGCGAUCAAUGAAAUUAAGACCUUGUAUGCAAAUACAACACAGUAAGGACACGGCUCCAGAGAAAAUCCUUGCUUGCAGAUCACUGACCUGCACUGACCCUAGAGGAAAAAAGUGCUCUUCCCACACUACUCCUGGAUGACAGCCAGGAGUGCACUGGCAGCAACUACAGAAGCUGAGCGGGACUUGACAUGAGGUAAUGCACAUGUUACUGAACUGAUACUUAGCACAAGUCUUGAACCUAGAGCAAGACUGGUGCUUCAGGAAAGGAGGAGGGGGACGGAGACUGGUAACCAAGUGUACACUCAUUUGGUGGUUAUUUCUUUUAAUGAUGACCUCAUGCUUUUUUGGAACAAGAGAGUGGCUGUUGGGUGAUGGCUUUUACUUCUUGUCUGGGGAGAACAAAGCAG
rnacentral:lncRNA from 1 species